GGGUUGUGAGGUUAAGCGACUAAGCGUACACGGUGGAUGCCCUGGCAGUCAGAGGCGAUGAAGGACGUGCUAAUCUGCGAUAAGCGUCGGUAAGGUGAUAUGAACCGUUAUAACCGGCGAUUUCCGAAUGGGGAAACCCAGUGUGAUUCGUCACACUAUCAUUAACUGAAUCCAUAGGUUAAUGAGGCGAACCGGGGGAACUGAAACAUCUAAGUACCCCGAGGAAAAGAAAUCAACCGAGAUUCCCCCAGUAGCGGCGAGCGAACGGGGAGGAGCCCAGAGCCUGAAUCAGUGUGUGUGUUAGUGGAAGCGUUUGGAAAGGCGCGCGAUACAGGGUGACAGCCCCGUACACAAAAAUGCACAUGCUGUGAGCUCGAUGAGUA
rnacentral:rRNA from 1 species